UACGGAGGAUUCAAGCGUUAUCCGGAUUUAUUGGGUUUAAAGGGUGCGUAGGCGGUCGGAUAAGUUAGAGGUGAAAUCCCUCGGCUCAACUGAGGAACUGCAACUAAAACUAUUUUUCUUGAGUGCAGGAGAGGAAAGUGGAAUUCCUAGUGUAGCGGUGAAAUGCGUAGAUAUUAGGAGGAACACCAGUGGCGAAGGCGACUUUCUGGACUGUAACUGACGUUGAGGCACGAAAGUGUGGGGAGCAAACAGG
rnacentral:rRNA from 1 species